rnacentral:lncRNA from 1 species
UAUUUUUUAAAAUUAGCCGCAUAUUUCAUUUCCGUUCCAAUUUGGCCCCUCGCUGCGCAGUGUUUUGGAGGGUGGGAUUAAUUUCCCUUUUAGUCCCCUAUAGUUAUUCGCGUGUUCAAGUUUGUCUUUUUUUUAUUUAUUUUCAAAUUUACCCAUUUUUUUCCUUUUUAAGUUCAAUUUUUUUAUUAUAAAUAUGUUUUAUUAUUAUUAUUAUUAUUUAUUCAUACAUGCGACGUUCUUUUAUUUAAUACAUAUAUAUGCAUGUUUUUUUAUCUAGUAUACUAGCAUGUUUUUUAUAAUAUAC